UUUUAUAUAGAUUGUUUAUUUUAAAAGUUAUUUUUAAGAAAAAUAAUUUAUAGUUAAGUUAGUAAUAUUUAAUAAAAUACAUAAAAAAACAAAAGUAAAUAAGUACUGUUAAGGAUCUCUAUUAUUAAUAUUGUUAGUAAAGAUGAAGUCUUGUAUCUUGUGUAUUAUAGAAAGUUUAUAUGGUUUAAGUAUUUAAAAAUCUCGAAAUAAAUACAGUUAAUUAUAUGAUAAAGUUUUUGUUAAAAAUAAAUUUUUAAUAUAUAAUUAAAGAUGAAAUAUCAAUCGAGAUUUAUAAUAUCUAGUUUUUUAAGAGUAAAUUUAAUUUCUUUUUUAUAUAUAACUAAAUAUAAAAGAAAAAUGCAGGAGGGCUAAGCUUCUUGUAAAUUAGGAAAAAUAGUUAAAUCAGUUAGUUAAAAUUAAUUAGGCUUAGAAAUAGUUUUAUUGAUAAAGUGUUUUAAUUAAAUUUAUAGUAGAUAAAUUAUUUAUGUUAACUUUUAUUUAUAUUAAAAAAUUAAAUAUAUUAAAAUAGUUUAAGUUAUAAUAAUUUUAUAAGUAGAAUUUAAUGUAUUGAAAGAAAUUAUAAAAAUCUUUUUUUUUAAUAGUGAAUUGUAAGAUUAAAGGAAUUCGGCAAAAAUUUUUCUUUGCCUGUUUAUCAAAAACAUGUCUGCUUGGAGAUAUAAGAAGUUUAGCCUGCUCUCUGAUAAAUUUAAAGGGCCGCGGUAAUUUGACCGUGCAAAGGUAGCAUAAUAGUUAGUUUUUUAAUUGAAAUCUUGUAUGAAUGGUUGGACAAAAGAAAGACUGUCUCUAUAAUUUUUAUUGAAUUUAACUUUUAAGUGAGAAGGCUUAAAUUAUUUAAAAAGACGAUAAGACCCUAUAAAGCUUUAUAAUUAAUUAUAUUUAAUUGAAUUAAAAAUAAUUAUUUAAUAUAAAAAAUUAUUUUGUUGGGGAGAUAGUAUUAUAAUUUGAAAUAACUGAGAAUAGGUAAUACAAUUAUUGGUGUAUGAAAAAAUAGUAGAUCCUAAUAUGUAGAUUAAAAGUUCAAGUUACUUUAGGGAUAACAGCGUUAUUUUUCUUGAGAGUUCAUAUCGAAAGAAAAGAUUGCGACCUCGAUGUUGAAUUAAAAUUUCUAAAUAAUUGUAGAAGUUAUUUAAGAAGGUCUGUUCGACCUUUAAAAUUUUACAUGAUUUGAGUUCAGACCGGCGUAAGCCAGGUUGGUUUCUAUCUUUUAAUAAAAGGUAAAUUAUUUUAGUACGAAAGGAUUAAAUAAUUAAAAUAUUUUUAAGAUUUA
rnacentral:rRNA from 1 species